UACGUAGGGUGCGAGCGUUAUUCGGAAUUACUGGGCGUAAAGCGUGUGUAGGCGGUUUUGUAAGUCAGAUGUGAAAUCCCCGGGCUUAACCUGGGAAUGGCAUUUGGGACUGCAAGGCUCGAGUGCGGCAGAGGAGACUGGAAUUCCUGGUGUAGCAGUGAAAUGCGUAGAUAUCAGGAGGAACACCCGUGGCGAAGGCGGCACUCUGGGCCGAUACUGACGCUGAGGAACGAAAGCGUGGGGAGCGAACAGG
rnacentral:rRNA from 1 species